UCCUCCAACACCUCUUCUUGCUUCAACUCCGCUGUCUUGAACUUGAGUUGCAUGUGCGCCAACAUUUGAUCUUUCAAGCCGUCUGGCAGUCUAUUCUUGCUUCCAUAACGCAAUAUCUCAUUUAUGGAAUCCCUCUGUUUGAACUACAAGCGAUCUGUUACCUUGUGAAGAGUUCACUAACACGCCUUAGUCGCCAGAACCGAAGUAAGUUGAGGAAGCCGAAGGCCUCACUGCGGUGCAUCUCCCCAGUGAAAAUUCUGUAUAAUACCUGAAAUGGAAGAGUGGAGGCUACGUCCAUGGGGAACCACAGGCUUGUAAGCUCUUGAAGCCACAUCAAUUUUCAACCCUAGUUGAUGGAAGAAAAAACCCCAAAAUGGAUUCAAACAAAAACAUUAUUUGGAAUUGAUAAAAUGAACAUACCGUAAAGCUAUCUUCUUACGAUCAUCAACGAGGAGA